AGUGAACGCUGGCGGUAGGCCUAACACAUGCAAGUCGAACGGCAGCACAGUAAGAGCUUGUUCUUACGGGUGGCGAGUGGCGGACGGGUGAGGAAUACAUCGGAAUCUACUUUUUCGUGGGUGAUAACGUAGGGAAACUUACGCUAAUACCGCAUACGACCUACGGGUGAAAGCAGGGGAUCUUCGGACCUUGCGCGAUUGAUUGAGCCGAUGUCGGAUUAGCUAGUUGGCGGGGUAAAGGCCCACCAAGGCGACGAUCCGUAGCUGGUCUGAGAGGAUGAUCAGCCACACUGGAACUGAGACACGGUCCAGACUCCUACGGGAGGCAGCAGUGGGGAAUAUUGGACAAUGGGCGCAAGCCUGAUCCAGCCAUACCGCGUGGGUGAAGAAGGCCUUCGGGUUGUAAAGCCCUUUUGUUGGGAAAGAAAAGCAGCAGGUUAAUACCCCGCUGUUCUGACGGUACCCAAAGAAUAAGCACCGGCUAACUUCGUG
rnacentral:rRNA from 1 species